GGGGUUGUAGCUCAGUGGUAGAGUGCUCACCCAGCAAGUGUGAAGCACUGGGUUUGAGCCACAGUACCACA
rnacentral:tRNA from 1 species